UACGUAGGGUGCGAGCGUUGUCCGGAAUUACUGGGCGUAAAGAGCUCGUAGGUGGUUUGUCGCGUUGUUCGUGAAAACUCACAGCUUAACUGUGGGCGUGCGGGCGAUACGGGCAGACUGGAGUACUGCAGGGGAGACUGGAAUUCCUGGUGUAGCGGUGGAAUGCGCAGAUAUCAGGAGGAACACCGGUGGCGAAGGCGGUUCUCUGGGCCUUACCUGACGCUGAGGAGCGAAAGCAUGGGGAGCAAACAGG
rnacentral:rRNA from 1 species